UACGUAGGUGGCAAGCGUUGUCCGGAUUUACUGGGCGUAAAGAGCGCGCAGGCGGUCGUUCAAGUCGCGUGUGAAAGCCCCCGGCUCAACUGGGGAGGGUCACGCGAUACUGAUCGACUCGAAGGCAGGAGGGGGUAGUGGAAUUCCCGGUGUAGUGGUGAAAUGCGUAGAUAUCGGGAGGAACACCAGUGGCGAAGGCGACUACCUGGCCUGUUUCUUGACGCUGAGGCGCGAAAGCUAGGGGAGCAAACGGG
rnacentral:rRNA from 1 species